CGGGUAGAGUAAUGCGUGACCAACCUGCCCCAUGCUCCAGAAUAGCUCUUGGAAACGGGUGGUAAUGCUGGAUGCUCCAACUUGACGCAUGUCUUGUUGGGAAAGUGUUUAGUGGCAUGGGAUGGGGUCGCGUCCUAUCAGCUUGUAGGCGGGGUAAUGGCCCACCUAGGCUUCGACGGGUAGCCGGCCUGAGAGGGCGGACGGCCACAUUGGGACUGAGAUACGGCCCAGACUCCUACGGGAGGCAGCAGAU
rnacentral:rRNA from 1 species